AGAACGAACGCUGGCGGCAGGCCUCAAACAUGCAAGUCUAGGGGGGUGUAGCAAUACAUCACCGGCGGACGGGUGCGUAACACGUGGGAAUAUACCUUUUGGUUCGGAACAACGCAGGGAAACUUGCGCUAAUACCGAAUGUGCCCUUACGGGGAAAGAUUUAUCGCCAAAGGAUUAGCCCGCGUAGGAUUAGCUAGUUGGUGAGGUAAUGGCUCACCAAGGCUCCGAUCCUUAGCUGUUCUGAGAGGAAGAUCAGCCACACUGGGACUGAGACACGGCCCAGACUCCUACGGGAGGCAGCAGUUGGGAAUCUUGGACAAUGGGGGAAACCCUGAUCCAGCCAUGCCGCGUGAGUGAUGAAGGCCUUCGGGUUGUAAAACUCUUUCGACGGGGACAUAAUGACGGUACCCGUAGAAGAGCUCCGGCUAACUUCGCGCCAGCAGCCGC
rnacentral:rRNA from 1 species